rnacentral:lncRNA from 1 species
AAGUAGUGUACUAUAUAGGGUAUAGUGUGCACUUUGGGACAUACCCUCUUACUUAUGUCCAACCCUAACCCCUUACACCCUAGGUUGAAACCCUAACCCCUACACCCUAGGUUGAACCCUAAUCCCUACACCCUAGGUUGAACCCUACACUCUAGGUUGAAACCCUAACCCCCUACACUCUAGGUUGAAACCCUAACCCCCUACACUCUAGGUUGAAUCCUAACCCCCUACACUCUAGGUUGAAUCCUAACCCCCUACACUCUAGGUUGAAACCCUAACCCCCUACACUCUAGGUUGAAACCCUAACCCCCUACACUCUAGGUUGAAACCCUAACCCCCUACACUCUAGGUUGAAUCCCCUCUACACCCUAGUUUUGGAGUGGGGACUAGGGAUUGGUUUGGAAUUUGAAAACUGUCUGUCGAUCAUUAAUGUACUGCAACUCUCCCCAACUUCUCCCCUCAGACACCCAGGGCCUGUAUCUGUUUCAGAUCAAAGCUGCCCCAUAGCAGAGCACAGAUCUGGGAUCAGUUUACCCCUAACUUCUCCUCUCUGUCCCAGGGCCUGUAUCUGUUUCAGAUCAAAGCUGCCCCAUAGCAGAGCACAGAUCUGGGAUCAGCUUACCCCUAACUUCUCCUCUCUGUCCCAGGGCCUGUAUCUGUUUCAGAUCAAAGCUGCCCCAUAGCAGAGCACAGAUCUGGGAUCAGUUUACCCCUAACCCUGUGUU